ACCAUGGAGUUGGUUCUCACCCCACGUUGUUUCGGGGUUUUCAGGUCGUACGUAUGCAGCGCGGUGGCGCAAGGCGAGGACGUAGCUCAGUAGAUAGCGCCCUACCACAGAGACCGAGGUAGCAGUACCCUGAGGCAAUCUAGCUUAGGGGACUAGAAAGCUAGAAUCAAGAUGUAUCAAACUUGUAAAUUAAAUGAUGUAAUAACUAGAUUGUAAAUUGGAAGUAAAAUGUGAAUUGAACUGUGAUGUGCUAAGUGACUGAAUGCUUGUAAUAGCAAGUAGAUUAUGUAUUUGAUACUUCCUUAUGCAAUCUGGAUUGAUAUCCGUUCCUACUUGGAACAUUCGUUGAUUGUUUGGAUUGCGAUGCCUUGGACGUACUGGGGAGACUCUGUCCGCGUACCAAGGAAUCCCCGGUCCGUUCGGCGGUCUGUCGGCGGCGCCGCGACCCGGUCCAAAUAGGCGGUUGGUUGCUGGGCGUGACACUACCAUUGUUGAGCUCAAAGCUUAUCUCUAAGCUAGCUCCAAUGGUGUGAGGAGGAAGAGGAAGAUGACCAAGGCCUUCUCCUUGCUUGCUUCACCUUCUUCUCCACCUUCUUCUCCUUCCUUUUCUUCUUCUCCUUCUUCUCCUUCUUCUUUGCUUCAAGAGAAGAGAGAGAGCAUAGAGAGAGAGAGAGAAGUGUGUGUGUUGGGUGGGGAAAUGAGGGAGAGAGAGAGUGUAAUCCCUUCUAUACCCUCCACUAAUGUAACAAUUGCACCCAAACCCCUCCACUUUGCCUCUCUCAAACUGCUCUGCUUGGGCAGUUUUCGGGCAUGGGGACCGGUCCCUCUAUGGACAGACCAGUCCCCGAGAGCUCACCCGCGGGCAGAGCUCUUCUGCCAGCUUUUACGCGUACGGGGACCGGUCUCUCCUUGCCAGGGACCGGUCCCCGAGAGCAAAACUCUCAGGACUUAGCCAAAUUUUCCUUGUUCUCGCUGGUUGCGCGUAUGGGGACCGGUCCUCGCCUGAGGGACCGGACCUUCAAGAACCGGUCCCCUCUCGAGGGACCAGACCCCGAGAGCAAAUGUCACGCGCAGAGCUUUCUCCUGCAUUUUCAACUUUCAGGGACUGGUCUCUCCCACUAGGGACCGGUCCCCGAGAGCAAAAUUUGCCAGGUGCAGAUUUUGCACAUCUUGCUCUCGCGGAUCCAUUGCAAUGCACUUUUUGAAUUUUCGACUUCUUCGGCUUUUCUGAAGCAUACCCACUUGACAAUUAGUCGAUUCUGGACUAAGUCCAACUCUCGGAUUUCGAGUAUUUACUUCCUUACAAGUAUAGAUGCCCAAAUCCAUAACCUGUUGUGUUGGUCUGUCGACCUUAGGCACUAUCCGCCACCAUAAUGCAUUAGACCUGACCCACGCGUCAUGAUGGAUGACCUAUUCGAAUAAGUAUACCCUGCGUCGGUGGCCAAACUGACUUGGUGUCUGUGAAUAUUCCUAAGUGCAGUGACAAAUCAAUGAGAUGAUAAAUCUGUUAGAAAAUUUGCGUACGGUAAAAUCGCAGCGAAAAAAGAAGUCAAACAAAUUUGAUUUUUAAAACUCAUUCUCGAAAACCACGCAAAUAGGAUCCCUCAUAUUCUUUAAGAUUAAAGGAGAAAAGGAGGAUUCAAUCUUUAUCUUUGCGAGCGUAGAUCUUUACCCAAUUUGAUGAUCGUGGAAUUAGGUUCUCUUGAAGUCGCACAUGUGUCCGGUCUCUAUAGGUAUCCACACGAGGUUCAUGAUUUGAUCAAUGUCCUCACCGGGAUGCUAGCUCCCUUGCAAAGAACAUCUUAAUCGCUAGAAGAAAAGAGAGAAAGAAAAAGAGAGGAAGAGAGAUGACGGCUAGGGUUUUCUAAAAACUCCCGUAUAUUAUAUAGAGAGAUAUAAUCCUCUUUUUAAUAAUAUAAUAACCAUUAAAGAUAAGUAAAAAUAUAGAUUUAAAUUUAUCCUUUUCCUAAUUGGUUAUAUCGAUCAAAUCCUAAUUUGAUUCGACUUGAACUUUAUCUUAAUUUGAUCAUAUCGUUAAUAAUGUAACACAUAGUAAGUAGCAAGCAUGAUAGCAUGACAUGUAAAUAAUGUUAGCUAAUGUAAAGAAUGCAUAUUAAUAGUAAUGCAUAGAUGGAAAUGCUAAAUAAAAUGCAUGAUGAACUAAGAUGCAUAGAGCAAAUGCCAAGUAGAAAGCAUGAGUUAAUAACUCUAGUGUGAGUAGAGUCGAUCGGACAACUAGGUUGUCAGGUAGAUCGAGUAGCAUCUAACCUAGUGUUAAAGAACAUAGGUUAAACGAGUGAACCUAGAGUCGAACAAUCUAGGUGUGUGGCAUCGAACCUAGUGUUAGUAAACCUAGGUCGAAUUAGUAAACCUAGAAGUGGACAUCUAGGCAAAGAUGACAAGAACCUAGCAAGUGUACCUAGGUUAAGUGACGUGGACGUAGAACCUAGAGUCUUGGAACCUAGGUUGAUGAGUAUAGUGGUAUAGCCACUAGGAUGAGUUAGGUCGAUGAUAUAGGGUUGGUUAUGAACCUUCGACCUGUGGAAAGUGGAUUCCGGAAUCCCAGGACUUAUGAUGUCCCUGGUACAGGCUAGGGCGUUCGUGCGACGACUUCGCCGCCGAGCUUGGUACCGUGGGUAGAUUGGGGGCGAUCAUAUGGAGAUCACCGCCCGGGGCUUGAACCAUUGUCGUGGCGUUUGUGCGACGAUUUCACCGCCGGAUGGUUAAACCAUUUGAGGAUCAGACCGCCAGAGUAGACUGAAUCCAUGCUGGGUAAGUACGAUGCGGGUGCUUCCAGGUGACUGAGUCUGACAUGAUCGUUGUUGGGUGUGGUGCGACUCGUUCGCCGCCAGACGGUAUGUCCUGUCUCGAGCUCACGCUGGGUAAGUGCAACGCGAUCGCCACCGAUGGUCAAGUCUUGCGACUCGAGCCGUGUUCAGCGUGUGCGACGAUUUCGCCGCUAGGAGGCUGAGUCUGAGAGAGUACGGUAGGCUGUUGAGCAGCCAGUGCGCGGACUAUCCGCAGAUGAUUGACUCGAAGCCGAGUCGGGUGGUUAGCUAUGAUAGGGUAGAGGAACCCUUAUGAGCUAGAGAUAGAGGCUUGAGCUAAGGUAAAUAGAAACCUUAGAAGCUAGUGGUUGGUGUUGUGAUCCUAAGGUAAUAGAAAUCUUAGAGUAAAAUUAUGAGCUAAAGCAGCCAAGUAAAAGUAAAAUUAUGAGCUAAAGCAGCCAAGUAAAAGUAGAAUUUAAAUGAUCUACUAGUUGUUGCAUGAUUUUCAUAUCGCAUAUUGUGAGGCAUGGCAUGUAUUUCAAUCGAAUAUAUAUAUAUCUGUUGUAUAUUGUUGAACUAACAUGUUGCAGUGCCUCCUCGGACCUAUCGGUCGAGCUUUUCCCUUGGGUGGCCGUACCCACUGGGAACCAUGGAGUUGGUUCUCACCCCACGUUGUUUCGGGGUUUUCAGGUCGUACGUAUGCAGCGCGGUGGCGCAAGGCGAGGACGUAGCUCAGUAGAUAGCGCCCUACCACAGAGACCGAGGUAGCAGUACCCUGAGGCAAUCUAGCUUAGGGGACUAGAAAGCUAGAAUCAAGAUGUAUCAAACUUGUAAAUUAAAUGAUGUAAUAACUAGAUUGUAAAUUGGAAGUAAAAUGUGAAUUGAACUGUGAUGUGCUAAGUGACUGAAUGCUUGUAAUAGCAAGUAGAUUAUGUAUUUGAUACUU
rnacentral:lncRNA from 1 species